rnacentral:rRNA from 1 species
UACAGAGGUCUCAAGCGUUGUUCGGAUUCAUUGGGCGUAAAGGGUGCGUAGGUGGCGAGGCAAGUCAGAUGUGAAAUCCCGGGGCUCAACCCCGGAACUGCAUUUGAAACUGCCUUGCUCGAGUACUGGAGAGGAGACUGGAAUUUACGGUGUAGCAGUGAAAUGCGUAGAGAUCAUGAGGAAGACCAGUGGCGAAGGCGGGUCUCUGGACAGUUCCUGACACUGAGGCACGAAGGCCAGGGGAGCAAACGGG